rnacentral:rRNA from 1 species
UACAGAGGGUGCGAGCGUUAAUCGGAAUUACUGGGCGUAAAGCGUGCGUAGACGGUUAUUUAAGUCGAGUGUGAAAGCCCCGGGCUCAACCUGGGAAUUGCAUUCGAGACUGAAUAGCUAGGGUACGGUAGAGGGAAGCGGAAUUUCAGGUGUAGCGGUGAAAUGCGUAGAUAUCGGGAAGGAACAUCAGUGGCGAAAAGCGGCUUCCUGGGACCAGG